rnacentral:rRNA from 1 species
GGUUAAGCGACUAAGCGUACACGGUGGAUGCCCUGGCAGUCAGAGGCGAUGAAGGGCGUGCUAAUCUGCGAUAAGCGCCGGUAAGGUGAUAUGAACCGUUAUAACCGGCGAUACCCGAAUGGGGAAACCCAGUGUGACUCGUCACACUAUCAUUAACUGAAUCCAUAGGUUAAUGAGGCGAACCGGGGGAACUGAAACAUCUAAGUACCCCGAGGAAAAGAAAUCAACCGAGAUUCCCCCAGUAGCGGCGAGCGAACGGGGAGGAGCCCAGAGCCUGAAUCAGCAUGUGUGUUAGUGGAAGCGUCUGGAAAGGCGCGCGAUACAGGGUGACAGCCCCGUACACAAAAGCGCAUGUGCUGUGAGCUCGAUGAGUAGGGCGGGACACGUGGUAUCCUGUCUGAAUAUGGGGGGACCAUCCUCCAAGGCUAAAUACUCCUGACUGACCGAUAGUGAACCAGUACCGUGAGGGAAAGGCGAAAAGAACCCCGGCGAGGGGAGUGAAAAAGAACCUGAAACCGUGUACGUACAAGCAGUGGGAGCCCCACCACCAAAGCAUUCUCUGGUGUUGAAGGCCCUGCAAAGCAGCAUCGCGGUGGCGGAGCGUCGUUUGCGACGCCCAACACACAAAACAAGCGGUGAGUGCUUUGGGGUGGGGUGACUGCGUACCUUUUGUAUAAUGGGUCAGCGACUUAUAUUCUGUAGCAAGGUUAACCGAAUAGGGGAGCCGGAGGGAAACCGAGUCUUAAUUGGGCGUUAAGUUGCAGGGUAUAGACCCGAAACCCGGUGAUCUAGCCAUGGGCAGGUUGAAGGUUGGGUAACACUAACUGGAGGACCGAACCGACUAAUGUUGAAAAAUUAGCGGAUGACCUGUGGCUGGGGGUGAAAGGCCAAUCAAACCGGGAGAUAGCUGGUUCUCCCCGAAAGCUAUUUAGGUAGCGCCUCGUGAAUUCAUCUCCGGGGGUAGAGCACUGUUUCGGCUAGGGGGCCAUCCCGGCUUACCAACCCGAUGCAAACUGCGAAUACCGGAGAAUGUUAUCACGGGAGACACACGGCGGGUGCUAACGUCCGUCGUGAAGAGGGAAACAACCCAGACCGCCAGCUAAGGUCCCAAAGUCAUGGUUAAGUGGGAAACGAUGUGGGAAGGCCCAGACAGCCAGGAUGUUGGCUUAGAAGCAGCCAUCAUUUAAAGAAAGCGUAAUAGCUCACUGGUCGAGUCGGCCUGCGCGGAAGAUGUAACGGGGCUAAACCAUGCACCGAAGCUGCGGCAGCGACGCUUAUGCGUUCGUUGGGUAGGGGAGCGUUCUGUAAGCCUGUGAAGGUGGCCUGUGAGGGUUGCUGGAGGUAUCAGAAGUGCGAAUGCUGACAUAAGUAACGAUAAAGCGGGUGAAAAGCCCGCUCGCCGGAAGACCAAGGGUUCCUGUCCAACGUUAAUCGGGGCAGGGUGAGUCGACCCCUAAGGCGAGGCCGAAAGGCGUAGUCGAUGGGAAACGGGUUAAUAUUCCCGUACUUGGUGUUACUGCGAAGGGGGGACGGAGAAGGCUAUGUUGGCCGGGCGACGGUUGUCCCGGUUUAAGCGUGUAGGUGUGUGUUCCAGGUAAAUCCGGUUCACUUUAACACUGAGGCGUGAUGACGAGGCACUACGGUGCUGAAGCAACAAAUGCCCUGCUUCCAGGAAAAGCCUCUAAGCAUCAGGUAACAUCAAAUCGUACCCCAAACCGACACAGGUGGUCAGGUAGAGAAUACCAAGGCGCUUGAGAGAACUCGGGUGAAGGAACUAGGCAAAAUGGUGCCGUAACUUCGGGAGAAGGCACGCUGACAUGUAGGUGAAGUGAUUUACUCAUGGAGCUGAAGUCAGUCGAAGAUACCAGCUGGCUGCAACUGUUUAUUAAAAACACAGCACUGUGCAAACACGAAAGUGGACGUAUACGGUGUGACGCCUGCCCGGUGCCGGAAGGUUAAUUGAUGGGGUCAGCGCAAGCGAAGCUCCUGAUCGAAGCCCCGGUAAACGGCGGCCGUAACUAUAACGGUCCUAAGGUAGCGAAAUUCCUUGUCGGGUAAGUUCCGACCUGCACGAAUGGCGUAAUGAUGGCCAGGCUGUCUCCACCCGAGACUCAGUGAAAUUGAACUCGCUGUGAAGAUGCAGUGUACCCGCGGCAAGACGGAAAGACCCCGUGAACCUUUACUAUAGCUUGACACUGAACAUUGAGCCUUGAUGUGUAGGAUAGGUGGGAGGCUUUGAAGUGUGGACGCCAGUCUGCAUGGAGCCGACCUUGAAAUACCACCCUUUAAUGUUUGAUGUUCUAACGUGGACCCGUGAUCCGGGUUGCGGACAGUGUCUGGUGGGUAGUUUGACUGGGGCGGUCUCCUCCUAAAGAGUAACGGAGGAGCACGAAGGUUGGCUAAUCCUGGUCGGACAUCAGGAGGUUAGUGCAAUGGCAUAAGCCAGCUUGACUGCGAGCGUGACGGCGCGAGCAGGUGCGAAAGCAGGUCAUAGUGAUCCGGUGGUUCUGAAUGGAAGGGCCAUCGCUCAACGGAUAAAAGGUACUCCGGGGAUAACAGGCUGAUACCGCCCAAGAGUUCAUAUCGACGGCGGUGUUUGGCACCUCGAUGUCGGCUCAUCACAUCCUGGGGCUGAAGUAGGUCCCAAGGGUAUGGCUGUUCGCCAUUUAAAGUGGUACGCGAGCUGGGUUUAGAACGUCGUGAGACAGUUCGGUCCCUAUCUGCCGUGGGCGCUGGAGAACUGAGGGGGGCUGCUCCUAGUACGAGAGGACCGGAGUGGACGCAUCACUGGUGUUCGGGUUGUCAUGCCAAUGGCACUGCCCGGUAGCUAAAUGCGGAAGAGAUAAGUGCUGAAAGCAUCUAAGCACGAAACUUGCCCCGAGAUGAGUUCUCCCUGAGACUUAAAGUCUCCUGAAGGAACGUUGAAGACGACGACGUUGAUAGGCCGGGUGUGUAAGCGCAGCGAUGCGUUGAGCUAACCGGUACUAAUGAACCGUGAGGCUUAACCUU